UUUCGGACAAUUUUGGUCUACCUGUCACUCACUAAUGUGGUCUGACUUCUGACAGUUAAGGUCGAGUGAUUGAGUCUGAAGUGUGAAUCACGCAGACUCAGCAUUGAAAAUAGCGAAAUGAAGAAACGCGUCUGACAGUCCAAAACAGAGGACAAACUAAAAUACAUAUGGAAUAAUAAUAAUAAUGAACGUUCAAAGGCCUUAAUCGAUAAAUGCCAAAUAUAUCGGGUAAUUGAACUGCACAGCUUGGGUUUGUGAAGCAGAACGCAACAGAUCAAAAAACGUUAAAAAUUAUGUAUAUUUUUUUCUUAAGAUAAUCCGUUCAAUUUAAAAAAUUUUCUGGCUU